GUGGGGAAUAUUGCACAAUGGGCGCAAGCCUGAUGCAGCAACGCCGCGUGAGGGACGACGGCCUUCGGGUUGUAAACCUCUUUUAGCAGGGAAGAAGCGAAAGUGACGGUACCUGCAGAAAAGCACCGGCUAACUACGUGCCAGCAGCCGCGGUAAUACGUAGGGUGCAAGCGUUGUCCGGAAUUAUUGGGCGUAAAGAGCUCGUAGGCGGUUUGUCGCGUCUGCUGUGAAAACCCGAGGCUCAACCUCGGGCCUGCAGUGGGUACGGGCAGACUAGAGUGCGGUAGGGGAGAUUGGAAUUCCUGGUGUAGCGGUGGAAUGCGCAGAUAUCAGGAGGAACACCGAUGGCGAAGGCAGAUCUCUGGGCCGUAACUGACGCUGAGGAGCGAAAGCGUGGGGAGCGAACAGGAUUAGAUACCCUAGUAGUCC
rnacentral:rRNA from 1 species